rnacentral:tRNA from 1 species
CCCUGGGUGGCUCAGUGGUAAAGAAUCUGCCUGCAAUGCAGGAGACCUGGGUUCAAUCCCUAGGUUGGGAA